CCUUACUGUCUCCCUCUCUUACGCACGACUGUCUCUAGCCAGCUCUUUCUCUCUUCCUCUCUCCUACUCUCUUCUAUUAUCUCUCACUCUCUGGUGGCCAUAGUCAGAGCAGUCUGCUGGGCUUUUUGCCGCUUUUCUUCUCUCUCUCUCUCUCUCCCUGUCCGUGCUUUGCGUUUCAUUCUGCCGGACGGAGAAACAGAGGCAGCCUCUCAAUGGUUCCCCCUCGCGCCUCCCUGAAAAAACCAGGGCCCACAACCAGACCAGCUUUUUCCCUUUGACCCGACUGACUUCUCUCUUCUAUUUGCCCACUGCUGCUCAAGCUUUUCCCAACACUAAAUUUGCAGAUUGUUCCCCCUUCUCUCGUGAUUUUUCUCCUCUCAUCAGAAUCGCGCCUUUACAGAAAUCUUGAUGACCCAAGUGAGUAUCUUCGGCAGACACGAGGGGGGCAAAAGACUGCUGAAUGGACAGAUGAAGGAGACAGCAGGCUGAAAGGAUGGGUCCGAAAGGAAGGAGGCGUGAGAGAGGGAGAAAUGAGGUUACUACUUAGCGGAGUGUGAGAGCAGAGAGGAACUGAGAAGAGAACGAGGGAUCUGGAGAGGCAACUGAAGAUGACCAAAGGAUGGAUGCUUCGAGGAGCAGCAAAAAUGUGCAGGAAAAAGAAGGGGGAAGAAAAGAAAAAGAGCUGGCAUCCCACUUCCAACCUGGCCUGAUGCCUCGAUUUCUUUCUACACACCAUGAGUCAGUUUUUCGUUGGGUUUUUGGAAAACGAAGGUGAUCCUGUCCUUGUCAUUCUUUUCUCUACUUUCGGCUAUGCUGUCCAUAUUCAUAAAUAUCUCCUGUUUUGCCUUCUUCCCUAGGAUUACCCUGUAUCACAUGUUGGGGAUCCAGAAUGGGCAUGUGCAGUACAUAGGGCCUAGAGAAUAAGGACAAAUGUUGACCAUGAACAUGAUGAUACCAAGACCGGUAAAGAAAUGCUGUCUUCCACCUCUGUCAUCCAGCAUUCCUUCCCAGUGGAAUUAAGGAAAGAAUUCAUCUUGUGCGCUUGGGAUGAAGGACGUCUUUCUCUACCCACCUCUAAGGGAAUUCCACAGAUAAGUGACAUACCUUUGAAAUAUCCAAUUGAAUUUGCCCCAAGUGUGCUGUAACAUACCUUUAACUGUCAAAUAAGUUAAAAAAGAAAGGACUAUGAGUGUUUUUUGCCUCAGCUUAGCACUUUGAGCUUGAUUAAAGGCACUCAGUGGGGGGUCAGCAAGCUUUAAAAGGAGAAAGAGAAGUAGUGACUGUUUAAAAGAGAAGUGGAGAGGACUAACCUGUUCCGCUUCAGUGUUGUGGCUACAAUAUGGAAGAUCGUUUUUAAUGCAAUCAUAACAAAACCCUCCAUCAGACACAGGCUCACAAUCACACUCACACAUCCAGACACAGCUGGCACGACACUUGGUUGUCUCUGACAGCACUGCCCUGGCAACCGAUGGGCAUGUCGCCAAGCCAGCGAGGUUGCCAGGCACUGAGUUCCCAUAGCAACCGGGGAUAUUUGCUGGUCUUUGAAUAAGGUAUGGACAGAGGCAGACAACCAGGGGGAGACGAAAAGGAAGAGGAGUUUUGAGAGGAGGGCUGCAGAGGCAGAUUGUUGGGAAGGUAAUUGUGGGAAAGAGGAAAAGCCAUAAAUGCUGGAGAGAACUGCAAAAUUCUCCUCCUCCAAGUUUCUGUGGGACAAAGUGAACUGUCCACUUCAAAUCCUAAAGUGGACAAAAAAAAAACCCUCUGUUUUGAGACCAGAUCAUCCUAUUGCCAAACAUUUCCUUUAAAUGUGUUGUUUACUUCAGAUAUGAAACAUAAGUGACUUCUGUAUGGGUUGCUGUACAUUCAGUUUACAUUAUACAGUUCUUUAUAUGUAAAUGCACAAACAUUAGUUCACAUCAUUAUGUAACAAAUUACAUGUACAUUAUGGAUUGACAGAUUCAAAUCUGCAACUCUGACUUUUUUCCAUAUGUCUUGAUGUUUUGAAUAUAUAUAAUGGAAACACACAACACUAACAUUUAUCCAAAUUCAAACCAUUAUAAAAUAUCUCCUACUCA